rnacentral:rRNA from 1 species
CGGAGGGGCGUAGCGUUGUUCGGAAGUUACUGGGCGUAAAGACGCACGUAGGCGGCUUUGUUAAGUUAGGGGUGGAAGACCUGGAGCUCAACUCCAGAAUUGCCUUUAAGACUGCAUCGCUUGAAUCCAGGAGAGGUGAGUGGAAUUCCGAGUGUAGAGGUGAAAUUCGUAGAUAUUCGGAAGAACACCAGUGGCGAAGGCGGCUCACUGGACUGGUAUUGACGCUGAGGUGCGAAAGCGUGGGGGAGCAAACAGGAUU